rnacentral:rRNA from 1 species
UACGAAGGGGGCUAGCGUUGCUCGGAAUCACUGGGCGUAAAGGGUGCGCAGGCGGCCAAGUGUGUUAGGUGUGAAAGCCCGGGGCUUAACCCCGGAAUUGCACCUAAAACUACAUGGCUAGAGCAUUGGAGAGGGGAGCAGAAUUCACGGUGUAGCAGUGAAAUGCGUAGAUAUCGUGAGGAAUACCAGAGGCGAAGGCGGCUCCCUGGACAAUUGCUGACGCUCAGGCACGAAAGCGUGGGGAGCAAAAGGG